rnacentral:rRNA from 1 species
GGGGGAUAUUGCACAAUGGAGGAAACUCUGAUGCAGCAACGCCGCGUGAGGGAAGAAGGUCUUCGGAUUGUAAACCUUAGUAGUCAGGGACGAAACAAAUGACGGUACCUGAAAAGUAAGCUCCGGCUAACUACGUGCCAGCAGCCGCGGUAAUACGUAGGGAGCGAGCGUUGUCCGGAUUUACUGGGUGUAAAGGGUGCGUAGGCGGGACUGCAAGUCAGGCGUGAAAUACCGAGGCUCAACCUCGGGGCUGCGUUUGAAACUGUGGUUCUUGAGUGAAGUAGAGGCAGGCGGAAUUCCUAGUGUAGCGGUGAAAUGCGUAGAUAUUAGGAGGAACACCAGUGGCGAAGGCGGCCUGCUGGGCUUUAACUGACGCUGAGGCACGAAAGCAUGGGUAGCAAAC